rnacentral:sRNA from 2 species
AUAUUACCUCGGUAGGUGAGGCUACCGCAAGGAUAUGGAUUGCUGCCGCGGAGAGUUGGAGACAACUCGAGAAGGUCAACAGGAUAUGUCGAAAAACAAGGCAUAACCUAAUGUAAUUUCACUGCCUUGCAGAGCUAAAGCUUGAACGGGAUCAACA